UAGGGAAUCUUCCACAAUGGACGCAAGUCUGAUGGAGCAACGCCGCGUGAGUGAAGAAGGCUUUCGGGUCGUAAAACUCUGUUAUUGAAGAAGAACGUGUGUGACAGUAACUGGUCAUGCAGUGACGGUAUUCAAUCAGAAAGUCACGGCUAACUACGUGCCAGCAGCCGCGGUAAUACGUAGGUGGCAAGCGUUGUCCGGAUUUAUUGGGCGUAAAGCGAGUGCAGGCGGUCUUUUAAGUCUGAUGUGAAAGCCUUCGGCUUAACCGAAGAAGGGCAUCGGAAACUGGGAGACUUGAGUGCAGAAGAGGAGAGUGGAACUCCAUGUGUAGCGGUGAAAUGCGUAGAUAUAUGGAAGAACACCAGUGGCGAAGGCGGCUCUCUGGUCUGUAACUGACGCUGAGGCUCGAAAGCGUGGGGUAGCAAAC
rnacentral:rRNA from 1 species